CCUGGCGGCCGUCGCGCGGUGGUCCCACCUGACCCCAUGCCGAACUCAGAAGUGAAACGCCGUAGCGCCGAUGGUAGUGUGGGGUCUCCCCAUGCGAGAGUAGGGAACUGCCAGGC
rnacentral:rRNA from 1 species